GCACCAGUGGCGAAACUGGCAGACGCGCAGGACUUAGGAUCCUGUGGGCUAGCGCUCAUGUGGGUUCGAGUCCCACCUGGUGCA
rnacentral:tRNA from 1 species